ensembl:lncRNA
UGGGUUUGAGGCCAGGUUGGGUGACUAAUCUCUCCCUUCGCCACAGUUUCUGUUCAUCCAUCUGUUACAUUACAACGUGACAUGAUGGAUAACGGUAGCAGAGAGGUGUCAUGGAAGGAAGGGCUGGACACAGGACUGUUACAGCAGUGAAUUGGAAUACAGAAGGAACAGACCUUGGAUUGGAUUGAAAUGAAAAAUAUUUAGUUGGACAGUUGGAAAAAAAACAGGAAAACAUGGGUUUUUCAUCAUGCCAACCAUGGAUGUGAAAGAAUGGUUGACAGGAGAAUUGGACAGCACAAAGCAAGAACUGAGAAGAGAGAUGGAGGAGAGGGACAGCGCUAUACUGACAGAGGAAAAUCUUUACCUGAAAAAAUAUGUUCUUGUCACACAGGAGAUCACAAAACUGGACGAACAAGUAAGGUUAUCUCAACAGCAGAUUGCAUCGUUUAAGACCAUAAAUGAAGACUUGACUCAGAGGGUGAAAACACUGGAGACAGAGAACCUACAUCUGAAACAAGAAAUGGAGAAUUGGAGGGCAAGGGAACUCCAAGAAAGAGACAUAGAGAAACCAACCCGAAUGGUGGAGAUGGAAAAGAUGAUUAAAAUGUUGGAAAAUGACAUAGAGAGACAUGAAAAAGAGAUGGCCCGAAUACAAAGACUUGAGGAAUUGACAACCAAAUCAACAGAAGACAAAAGGCUAGAGGCAGUGAGAGUUCAAAUGAAAGAGGAAAGAAGACAAGAGGAGGUCAACUUGGAUGUCAAAGAUACAAAUCAUUUGUUGGAGGACAAGCAAAAAAUUGAAGAUGACAGAAAAAGCACAGAAGAUGUGGAACAAGAGAGAGCUCAAAAGAAAACAAACAGAGAGGAUGAGAAACCAGUGAGCGAAGACCAAAACUGGUUGGAGGAGGAAAGUAAUGUUAAAGACAUGGGACAUGCAGAUGAUAAGACAGAAGGUGAAAGUAAGGUAUUGGAGACGGGGAAAGCAGGUAAUCAGACUGUGGAAAAGGAGUUUCUGAAAGACCAAGUACAGAUAAAGCCCUCUUCUAAGGAAGUUGUAGACUGGACAGACGUCAAGGAGGCGGAGAUUAAAGAGGAG